GACGAACGCUGGCGGCGUGCUUAACACAUGCAAGUCGAACGGAAAGGCCCCUUUGGGGGUACUCGAGUGGCGCACGGGUGAGUAACACGUGAGUAACCUGCCCUUGACUUCGGGAUAACUUCAGGAAACUGGGGCUAAUACCGGAUAGGAAUCCUUGCUGCAUGGUGGGGGUUGGAAAGCUUCGGCGGUUUUGGAUGGACUCGCGGCUUAUCAGCUUGUUGGUGGGGUAGUGGCUUACCAAGGCUUUGACGGGUAGCCGGCCUGGGAGGGCGACCGGCCACAUUGGGACUGAGAUACGGCCCAGACUCCUACGGGAGGCAGCAGUGGGGAAUAUUGCACAAUGGGCGGAAGCCUGAUGCAGCAACGCCGCGUGCGGGAUGACGGCCUUCGGGUUGUAAACCGCUUUCAGCAGGGGCGAAGCUUGUGGUGACGGUACCUGCAGAAGAAGCACCGGCUAACUACGUG
rnacentral:rRNA from 1 species